AGAGUUUGAUCCUGGCUCAGAGUGAACGCUGGCGGCAGGCCUAACACAUGCAAGUCGAGCGGCAGCGCGGGGGCAACCCUGGCGGCGAGCGGCGGACGGGUGAGGAAUGCAUCGGAAUCUACCUCGUUGUGGGGGAUAACGUAGGGAAACUUACGCUAAUACCGCAUACGACCUACGGGUGAAAGUGGGGGACCUUCGGGCCUCACGCGAUGAGAUGAGCCGAUGCCGGAUUAGCUAGUUGGUGGGGUAAAGGCCUACCAAGGCGACGAUCCGUAGCUGGUCUGAGAGGAUGAUCAGCCACACUGGAACUGAGCACACGGUCCAGACUCCUACGGGAGGCAGCNNUGGGGAAUAUUGGACAAUGGGCGCAAGCCUGAUCCAGCCAUGCCGGGUGUGUGAAGAAGGCCUUCGGGUUGUAAAGCACNUUUGUUGGGGAAGAAACCGACCGGAUUANUACUUCGGGNUGAAUGACGGUACCCAGAGAAUANNCAGCNGCUAACUUCNGUGCCAGCAGCCGCNGGUAGACGAAGGGUGCAAGCGUNACUCGNNAAUCACUGGGCNUNNAUCGUGCGUAGGGCGGGUUAGUNNACGUCUUGCCUUNUGAAANGCCCUGGUGCUCCNACCCUNCUGAACCCUGNNGNGGCAUNCUGGCUUNANCGCANNNCUGGUUGUCGGGANGGCNUGCNUGC
rnacentral:rRNA from 1 species